UACGGAGGGUGCAAGCGUUGUCCGGAAUCACUGGGCGUAAAGGGCGCGUAGGCGGCUCAUGAAGGCUGUGGUGAAAGUCCGGGGCUCAACCUCGGAUCGGCCGUGGCGACUCGUGGGCUGGAGCACUGUAGAGGCGGGUGGAAUUCCAGGUGUAGCGGUGAAAUGCGUAGAUAUCUGGAGGAACACCGGUGGCGAAGGCGGCAUCCUGGACCGAUACUGACGCUGAGGAGCGAAAGCCAGGGGAGCAAACGGGG
rnacentral:rRNA from 1 species